AAUUCUUGAAGGCAAGGCCCAAUAAGCAAAUUCCCAGCCCAAUCAAGAAAUCCAUACAUACUUAGUUGAAAAUCAGGCCAAAUUGUCAAAGUGGCCCAAGUUGUAAAGUUUUAUUUUUAUUUUUAUUUAUUUAUUUAUUUAUUUACUUAGUUUAAAUUUUUAUGUAAAUAUUCAGUCCAAGAGUCCCAAAUAAAGACCUUUGACCGAAUUUCCAUAUUAAAAUA
rnacentral:lncRNA from 1 species